UGUCUGUUCGUAUGUCAUCACGCGGGAGGUUCAGCCAGAGCUCAGUCACCCAGAUGUAAAAGAUAAGCACGUACACCGACCUAACUGCUCACUCUCCCGGGGGUUAACCCUCAGGUCACCACUAACCAUGGGGUUGAACCAGUCGUUCCUCUCCCCAUGGUGCCAUUUUUUUUUUUGGCAAUGAUGGGGUGGAUCAGAGAACAUCCCACUAUGAAGCUUUGAUGACCUGUUUCCUGCCUCAAAGUGGGUCUAUGAAACGUAGCUACCUGAGCAUAACCUGUGAUGAAGGAAUCAGCAAGAGUCGCCCCACCUAACUCACUGCUCUCAUGGUUCACGAUAUUUAUGUGUGGUGCAUUGUUUACUGAACUGAGAGCGAAGACAUUUUUGUAAAAUUCAUUAAUGUUGAUGAGAAACUAGUUAUAUAUUUUUACUUUGUACCAUAAGAGAUACCUGUAUAAGGUAUUUGUGUGUGUAGUUUUCUGAAUUAACUGGUUCCAAAUUUCCAGGUUUAAAAGGUUUGAGAACCACUGUCUAAGACUACUGUGUGGUUGAGGCUACAUUGAGGUAACAUUGUUUAUGCUUGUGUUGGCUACUGUGUGAAUCAACAUGGUUGGUGUAUGGUGCAGUAUGUGUAUGGUAGUAUAGGCUACUGUGUAGUCGUGGUUACAUAGUGUAUUGUAACGGAUGUUUGGUGUAUGGUUUUACAUGUAUGGAUUAUAGUAGUAGAUGGUGUAUGGUAAUUUAUGUUAAUUAAUGGUUGGACUAAAGGGAUAUAUGAUAAAAUAGGUUAAUGUGUGGAUUAAGCUAAAAGGUGUAUGGUAGUACAUAUAAGGUAGUGCAUGUUAAUAUACUGUAUAGUUGAUGUUACAUGGUGCACGGAAGUGAAUGUUGCAGUAUGGUUGAUGCUAUUACGUGUAUGGUAGUGUAUGUUAUUGCAUGAUCAAAGCUAUAAAGUGUAUGGUAGAUGGUGUAUGGUAGUGUAGUUACUGUAUGAUUGAAGCUAUAAAGUGUAUGGUAAACAUGUGGUGUGUAUGGCAGCAGUAGUGGGGUGUGGCCUCCUUGAUGGCGUGUGUGUGUGUUGCCACGGUUUCACUGCCGGGAGAGAACGCUUCACAAACUUUCUGACUAUUACUCAUUCCGUAGCGGUAAUAACAGGAGGCAGUGAGCGCUGUGAUCGCUGGCUGGGUAGCACAAAGAGACGCACAGUGUGCGUGAGUGUGUGUUCAAACGUGCGUUCGUGUGUUGGUUCUUUCUGUAAAGUAGGAUGUGACACACUUACGGGUGUGAUUCACAGUGCAACGCUGCCACACUUUUACUACGCUACUCUACAGUGGUGCCGACUAGUGUGCGUCUUCUGCUGGGAAUUGCGUAACCUUGUAAAACAGGGACCCCCAAUAAUAAUUGCUCGUGUUCCACUUUCCUUAGUGGUGUCCCCCAGCAGGAAUGUAUCUCUGACGUGUAUUACUGUCUCAACACAACAACAACAACAAGAACACCCUUGCCUCCUGCUGUCGAUUCUUCUAAGCAAGUCACAUAUAAUGUGCUGCCGGAAAUUUAUCUUGGUGUGUGUGUGUGUGUGUGUGUGUGUGUGUGUGUGUGUGUGUGUGUGUGUGUGUGUGACACCCACGGCGAUAAAACUUGCCCGCUGGCCGGUAAGUCAACCACCACACACUAACCUAUAUACAGUAUAUCUGGUGGACCAUACCUGCCUCUACACCUACACGCACCUGUUGUAGGUUGUUAACUAAUGUGCAGUGUACAAUGUAGUGUAAAUAUAACUGAUACUCACACACCCACAACCGCAU